rnacentral:rRNA from 1 species
GAUGAACGCUAGCUACAGGCUUAACACAUGCAAGUCGAGGGGUAACAAGAGGAAAGCUUGCUUUUCUUGUUGACGACCGGCGCACGGGUGAGUAACGCGUAUCCAACCUGCCUAUAACUAGGGAAUAACCUUGCGAAAGUAAGACUAAUACCCUAUGAUUUCCUUCGAUGGCAUCAGAUUAGGAAUAAAGAUUUAUCGGUUAUAGAUGGGGAUGCGUCUGAUUAGCUUGUUGGCGGGGUAACGGCCCACCAAGGCAACGAUCAGUAGGGGUUCUGAGAGGAAGGUCCCCCACAUUGGAACUGAGACACGGUCCAAACUCCUACGGGAGGCAGCAGUGAGGAAUAUUGGUCAAUGGGCGGAAGCCUGAACCAGCCAAGUAGCGUGCAGGAUGACGGCCCUAUGGGUUGUAAACUGCUUUUAUACGGGAAUAAAGUUAGCCACGUGUGGUUAUUUGUAGGUACUGUAUGAAUAAGGACCGGCUAAUUCCGUGCCAGCCGCCGCGGUAA